rnacentral:misc_RNA from 1 species
AAGUCGUAACAAGGUUUCCGUAGGUGAACCUGCGGAAGGAUCAUUAUUGAAUGAAUCUAGAGUUGGUUGUCGCUGGCCUCUUCGCGGAGGCAUGUGCACGCCUUCUCUUUCAUCCACACACACCUGUGCACCUGUGAGACGGAGGCCUUUCUUAAGGUUUCCGUCUGCCAAUACACAAACUCCAUAUAUUGUAAUCUGAAUGUAAUCGAUGUAACGCAUCUAUAAACUAAGUUUCAACAACGGAUCUCUUGGCUCUC